AUUAUGAGAAAAUAAAACGGCGGAUUUAAACAAUACGAGUAAAAAGGUGUAUACAGCCUAUGACAAGGCGGAGACUAGUUUUUACAAUAAGGAUCUUCAAAAAUCAGGGAACUAAAAAUCAAAACACAUGAUCAAAAUUAUAAAAAAAACACAGUCAAGGUUACCCAACUCUACUUGAUUUUACAGUUCUAUUUUUGUUUCUGUAAUGCUGUAAUGCCGGGAUUGGGGAGUUGAACGCUCACAAUCGAGUUUGUUGUAGUUGGUUGAUGUCUGUCAUCGUUAUGUAUUUCGUUUAUUAUUGUAAAAUAUAUCAAGCACUCAUAUUUCUCGUUUGAAUUGUUUUACAAUCUGUCAUCCCAGGGCCAUUUUAAAACUGUACUACUAACUUAUACAGUAUUUGUUUCGCACAUUGCUGACGGCUGUAAAAGUACUGUGACAUGACUAUGUACUGGAUCACAUAUUUGUCCUUUCUUUGUUAAUGGGAUAAUGACAAUCAUACCACAACUGCGAACUUUUAUUUUAUUAUGUUUCUUCCAAUAUGCCUGCAACAAAAAUUGAGAGAAAUAUGUAUUAUUCAUAAUACAUACAUGAUACAUGUACACACAAAAUAUAAACGAUAAUAACAUUUGAUAUCGUAUAGAACAUAUACAUUGCACAAAAGUCAGGUUAACAAAAUUUUAACAAAGGUUUCUGCUUGUCAAUGUACUAGACUGAAUUGCAUUCUUGUCUUACAUAUACAAGACUUUCUAAACCUUAUAAAAUGCUUGUAUGUGCUAAAUAUCAUUAUAACAACACUGUAUGUGCUUUAUGUAUGCUAAAGCAAACCAAGAUCUAUAAAGGCUUUACUAUGUUGUUGAAGAUAUAGCAAUUGUUUACAAAUUAAAGCUUAACUGCUCGAAUACAUUGAAUAUAAAAAAGAAGGUGUCGUAUGAUUGCCAAUGAGACAACUCUCCACAAGAGACCAAAUAACACAGUAUAACACAUGUAAUUAUAAACUAAAGGUCACCAUACGACCUUCAACAAUUUGAGCAAAGCCCAUACUGCAUACAUUAACUUAUACAAGGCCCCUAAAUGACAAAUGUAAAACAGGUCAAUCGAGAAAACUCACGGUCUAAUCUAUCAUGUACAAAUUAAUGAACGAAAAACAAAUAUGAUACACACCAUCAAACGACAAUCACUUGAUUACAGGCUCCUGACUUUGAACAGACAGGCACAUACAGGAAUAAGACUAUUUUCAGCAUGUUAGCAGACUGAGGUAACAUUGUAAAAAAAAAAUCUAGAAGGAAAGCCAGUCAUCCAUAUGGAUGUCAUGUUAUUAUAGCAGAAAACUUUUACAAUUUAAAAUAACAAAACAGUGCAGUGGUGGACCCAGAACUUUUUAAAGGGGGCACUAAGCGGCCUAAGGGCAUGUCCCCCUCCCCAGUUCAGGUUACCAACAAAAGUUUUAACAUAAUUUUAUUAAUACUGAAUCUUUUUAUUUAGAAUUAGUUACAGUUUGAUUUGUAAAACUGGCCGUUAAUCCCAUCUCCAACAUACUUGAUUUUUGACAACUGUGAUUGGUGGUUAAAUGUAAAUAUUGACACCUGUGUGUAAUGUCUCUUUGCUCUUUAUAUGUUAACUACAUGUAUAUGUUGAUUGGGAUAGUACGAUUUUUUAAAUUGUUUUUAAUACAAUUAAUAUUACAGAUUAAUAUUGAAUAAAAAAAGUUCUCGAAAAUGUCGAUUUCGGAAAUAUAUCACCGAAGCAGAG
rnacentral:lncRNA from 1 species